rnacentral:rRNA from 1 species
AUUGAACGCUGGCGGCAGGCCUAACACCUGCAAGUCGAACGAGUGGCGUACGGGUGAGUAAUGUCUGGGAAACUGCCUGAUUGAGGGGGAUAACUACUGGAAACUGUAGCUAAUACCGCAUACCCUCAGAUGUGCCCAGAGGGGAUUAGCUUGUUGGUGGGGUAACGGAUCACCAAGGCGACGAUCCCUAUCUGGUCUGAGAGGAUGACCAGCCACACUGGAACUGAUACACGGUCCAGACUCCUACGGGAGGCAGCCGUGGAGAAUAUUGCACAAUGGGCGCAAGCCUUAUGCAGCCAUGCCGCGUGUAUGAAGAAGGCCUUCGGGUUGUAAAGUACUUUCAGCGGGGAGGCGUUACCCGCAGAAGAAGCACCGGCUAACUCCGUGCCAGCAGCCGCGGUAAUUC